GGUUUUCAUCCAGUCUCAUAUCUGCCACUGAGCGACCCCACCGCCCGUCCGUCCCAGGCGGAGUUCAACCUGCAGGCGAAGUCUGGGCAACUUUCCCAGUUUCGAGCAAAUACACCUCAGGAGGAAGUCCGUCCAGAUUGUAACAACGAUCAAGCUGACAUCAUACAAUGAGGUAAAGGUGAAAAGUGUUGGAGCUCUAGCAGCUCAUGAGUUUGGUGAAAAAGAGCGACAUCUUGUGUAGAGUAAAGCCAUGGACACACCCGUAUCCACCCCGAGAAGCCGGAGGGAGGGGGAGUGCAAGGAGCAGCCUCUUGUGAUCAGGCUGUCAUUUCCUCUCUUCGGCUCUGUUGUUCCUGAAAAAGGCCUUUGUGAAGGAGCCAAGUGGCCCGGGCAGUGACACAAGGUGGGCUCCUCCCGUGGCUCUGAGACUGUCAGAGGGGGCAGGUCGGUCCCCUGGCAGGCCGAGACGAAGAGAAAAACAAACACGGGGAUGAAACAGAACAGCAAAAUCCAGUCCCUGCUGGUGAAUACACUUUACAGCAAAUUAGAUGUGAUUUACAGUAUGUUGUUGGGAACAGUAAAGAAAACAAGGUAAAUGAUGACAAAUCUGUCUGGUGUAAACGAUGGCAGCAUGACUGCAGAUCUUGAAAGAAAAGCAGGAUGGGGAUAUUUAAAAAAAGAGGAUGGGUAUAUUUAAAACUCAAACCCUGCUUUUGCAACACUACAGCCACACUUCAGUGUGUUUUAUUGGUAUUUUAUAUGACAGACCAACAUAGACAAGCACAUACUUGUUAAGUGGAAAGAGAAUUAUAAUUGGGGUUUUUUCUACAAAACUUAGAGCAUUUCAGUCUCUAGAUAUGUAUAGCUAGCAAUA